UUGAUCCUGGCUCAGAACGAACGCUGGCGGCACGCCUAACACAUGCAAGUCGAGCGCUCACUUCGGUGGGAGCGGCGGACGGGUUAGUAACGCGUGGGAACAUACCCAACACUACGGAAUAGCCACUGGAAACGGUGAGUAAUACCGUAUACGCCCUUCGGGGGAAAGAUUUAUCGGUGAUGGAUUGGCCCGCGUUAGAUUAGAUAGUUGGUGGGGUAACGGCCUACCAAGUCUACGAUCUAUAGCUGGUUUGAGAGGAUGAUCAGCAACACUGGGACUGAGACACGGCCCAGACUCCUACGGGAGGCAGCAGUGGGGAAUCUUAGACAAUGGGCGAAAGCCUGAUCUAGCGAUGCCGCGUGAGUGACGAAGGCCUUAGGGUCGUAAAGCUCUUUCGCCAGGGAUGAUAAUGACAGUACCUGGUAAAGAAACCCCGGCUAACUCCGUGCCAGCAGCCGCGGUAAUACGGAGGGGGUUAGCGUUGUUCGGAAUUACUGGGCGUAAAGCGCGCGUAGGCGGAUUGGAAAGUUGGGGGUGAAAUCCCCGGGGCUCAACCCCGGAACUGCCUCCAAAACUAUCAGUCUAGAGUUCGAGAGAGGUGAGUGGAAUUCCAAGUGUAGAGGUGAAAUUCGUAGAUAUUUGGAGGAACACCAGUGGCGAAGGCGGCUCACUGGCUCGAUACUGACGCUGAGGUGCGAAAGUGUGGGGAGCAAACAGGAUUAGAUACCCUGGUAGUC
rnacentral:rRNA from 1 species